rnacentral:rRNA from 1 species
AUUGAACGCUGGCGGCAGGCUUAACACAUGCAAGUCGAGCGGGGUGAUGGUGCUUGCACUAUCACUUAGCGGCGGACGGGUGAGUAAUGCUUAGGAAUCUGCCUAUUAGUGGGGGACAACAUCUCGAAAGGGAUGCUAAUACCGCAUACGUCCUACGGGAGAAAGCAGGGGAUCACUUGUGACCUUGCGCUAAUAGAUGAGCCUAGGUCGGAUUAGCUAGUUGGGGGGGUAAAGGCCUACCAAGGCGACGAUCUGUAGCGGGUCUGAGAGGAUGAUCCGCCACACUGGGACUGAGACACGGCCCAGACUCCUACGGGAGGCAGCAGUGGGGAAUAUUGGACAAUGGGGGGAACCCUGAUCCAGCCAUGCCGCGUGUGUGAAGAAGGCCUUAUGGUUGUAAAGCACUUUAAGCGAGGAGGAGGCUCUUUUGGUUAAUACCCAAGAUGAGUGGACGUUACUCGCAGAAUAAGCACCGGCUAACUCUGUGCCAGCAGCCGCAGUAA